rnacentral:rRNA from 1 species
UACGAAGGGGGCUAGCGUUGCUCGGAAUCACUGGGCGUAAAGGGUGCGUAGGCGGGUCUUUAAGUCAGGGGUGAAAUCCUGGAGCUCAACUCCAGAACUGCCUUUGAUACUGAAGAUCUUGAGUUCGGGAGAGGUGAGUGGAACUGCGAGUGUAGAGGUGAAAUUCGUAGAUAUUCGCAAGAACACCGGUGGCGAAGGCGGUUCUCUGGGCCUGUACUGACGCUGAGGAACGAAAGCGUGGGGAGCGAACAGG